UGCAGAGCUGUUGUGUGCAAGCAUGCAAAGGUGUGAGGUUUUAAGAGAAAUUGAAGAUCAGCUCUUCAUCUGAAGCUCUGAGCUGCUUGCCUGAAAUAUUUGCUGCUCCUUGGUUUCAUUUUCUAUGAGAAGCUUUGUCAAUAUUGAUAUUUAUGUGAAGAAAUCUAUUUAUUUGAGAUAUACAAUGAGUCAGUGUGACUUCACUACGAAAUGAAUUUCAAGGAAGAAAUUUGUUCCAACAUCUGUGAGAUUGGCUAUCUGAUCUCAGAAAGAAAGAAUUAGAAUGGGCAUAUUGAAGACAAUUCGUGAAAUCAUCAGAAAUUAAAGCAUUCCAAAAGAGCCUGGAAAUGCUGAAGAGAAAAACUAAGAAAAACUUGAAAUUUGAAAAGGCAUACACCAAAUUAAUCAUCCCAGAACCCAAACAUGGAAGCAGGAGAGCAAAUACACACACCAGAAAUCCUUCCCUGGAUUUGUUUUCAAGAUUAGACCCGAAGGAAAG